GAUGAACGCUAGCGGCAGGCCUAAUACAUGCAAGUCGAACGGUAUUCAGAUGCUUGCAUUUGAAGAGAGUGGCGCACGGGUGCGUAACGCGUAUGAAACCUACCUUUAACAGGGGGAUAGCCUCUCGAAAGAGAGAUUAAUACCGCAUAAUAUCGGGAGUGGGCAUCCACAUUCGAUUAAAUAUUUAUAGGUUAAAGAUGGUCAUGCGUGACAUUAGCUAGUUGGAGAGGUAAUGGCUCACCAAGGCGACGAUGUCUAGGGGAUCUGAGAGGAAUGGCCCCCCACACUGGUACUGAGACACGGACCAGACUCCUACGGGAGGCAGCAGUAAGGAAUAUUGGUCAAUGGCGCAAGCCUGAUCCAGCAAUGCCGCGUGUGUGAAGAAGGCCUGCGGGUUGUAAAGCACUUUUGUUCGGGAAGAAACGGAUCGGUUAAUACCCGGUUCGAUGACGGUACCGAAAGAAUAAGCACCGGCUAACUUCGUGCC
rnacentral:rRNA from 1 species